AAUAUUUUGGCAUAGUGGUUAUGCAUUUGGCUGCUAACUGAAAGGUUGGCAGUUUGAAUCCACCAGGUGCUC
rnacentral:tRNA from 1 species